CCAAGCACCCUGUUGUGUCUCUGAAGCCUGCAGCCCUGCUGGCAUCUGUUUGCUGUUGUUCACUUGCUUCUUUGCCAGCAUCACUUUCUACAACCUGCAAGCGAGAACUCUAAAUGACGCAGCACUUCUGAAGGACUGAUUAUGGGCCUCCAUGGCUGAAAAUACCACACGUGUAGGACACAGGAUGCAGAUGACUUGAGCUUUACCUCACUUGAAGCUUUUUGGCUUGGGCUUUAGUUUCCACAGCUCCAGAAAUGCUAUGCAAGCUGACUGAGGGGAAGGUGAUUGACAGUCCUACCCAGCUGCAGCACCUAGGAAAUGUCACAAGCAAAGAAGCAAGUGUGACCCUCACAAGUUGGCACAACCAACUGAGAUCUAGUGGGACGUAAGACCUCUCAACAGGAGGGACAUCAUGCCAGCUCUGUGGAGCUCGUGAGGUUAUCAACUGCAGAGAAGAAUAUAGUAUGGCCACCUGCUAGAACAGAAUAUCUCCUUACUACAUUCUAAAUUAUAUCUUCACUUCCACAGAUUAGUGUGGGUACCACACUUAUCAAAGACGCUUCUCCUCAUAGCAAAUUGUGAUCACAGAAACACAUACAAGUGAAUGCUUCACUACAGAUAUUUUUAAGAAUGUGAGUCUGUAAUGUUUGUCUUACGUUUUGCUUUUUUAGCUUUAAUACUUUUUUAAAAUGAGUUUUGUCACGGUUUUCUUUUAUUUUUCUGAAAGAAAAUGUGUGGAAUCAGUUUUGUUUCUUUCUGAGUGUUUGGCAGCAUUCACCAAUAAAGCCAUCUGCAACUGA